UGACAUGGGAACCAUAGUGCCGCACCGGAGCCCCAGUAGGAGGUCAUGCCGUGAGUUGUUGCGGUGUGCAUGCAAUUACAAGAGGAAAAUGAAAAAAAAAAAAAAAGCACUCUGCUGCCUCAUUCGGCCCGCAGUAAGACUCUGUGACGCUUCCCCAUGUCACGUGACUCGAAGGCGCUCAAAGGCUGCGCGUGACGUCAUCUGCACGAGCGUCAUUCAAGGACGACGUUGUGCACGUGAAGCGGUGUGUUGGACGUUUUCCCGCCUAACGGAAAGCAGUUUCUUUGCGUGUGGUGUACUCGAAUAUUCCCCAAAUAUGUGCCGACAACCAAAGACUCCGAUUGUGUGUGUUCUACGAUAUCAACAAAGUUUGGGGUAACAAAGGACACUCAGCUGCCACCACAUUUAUCAAGCAGUGUCUCGAGGGAAACUGGAUGGCCCCCAAAUGGAACAGAACUGGCUCGAAGAGGAUAUAAGGAGGUAUUUUAUUGUGGAAAUAUUGUGGAAGACCUUCUGCUUUCAAAAUGAUUUUGAAACUGCUGACUCUGUGGUGUUCAUUGUGCACGGUCGAUUAAGCCAUGUCUUCGCCGGUUCCUCAGUUUUAUAAAACGACAAACAAUU